AGAGUGGGUCGGGCGGUCGCCCCGCGCCUAAAAAAAUAGGAAUGCCUUUCCGGAAUUGUCGUGCCGGAGGCGGCAGACCCCGCUAAAUAGCGGGGUAUCCGUAUUCUUUUAGGUGUGGGGAGGAAAGUCCGAGCAGGAUAGGGCACGGUGGCGGCUAACAGCCGCCCGGGGUGACCCGCGGGAAAGUGCCACAGAAAAUAUACCGCCCCGCACUAUAAAAACAGUAACGGUUCGGCCGCGUUGUUGUCCUCUGUUCCUUCAGGAAUAGGACAAUCAAGGGCUUGCGUCACUGUUUAGUGCGGGGUAAGGGUGAAAAGGUGCGGUAAGAGCGCACCGCGUCGCUGGUAACAGCGGCGGCACGGCAAACCCCACCGCCUGCAAGACCAAGUAUGCUGUGUGCUCGGCCCGGGCGUUUCACAGCGGGUAGGUCGCGUGCCGAGGGGGCAACCUAUCGGCAGAGCCGGUCGGCAACGGCCGG
rnacentral:RNase_P_RNA from 1 species